AUACCAGCUGGGCAGAACAGCUCCAACACCAGGAAUGUGGGGUUUUUUUCCAGGGUGAGCCUCAUCCCUUGCCCUUUGGCUGUGCCAGCCCUUGCGCUUUCCCCAGAUGUGGAGAACUGUGGCCAUGAGGGUGGAAGGCAUCCUUGUUGUUCCCCA
rnacentral:snRNA from 14 species